rnacentral:lncRNA from 1 species
AUGUUUGAAUGGGUGUGCUCUUUUGUUAGGCACAUGCUAUCAUUUCAAGCAUGCAAACUUGUGAAGUGUGAACUGGAUGGAGGUGCUUAACCGAGUGUUCUGAACUGCCACCCGCGCCACACUGCUCAGAUUUGUUUGCGUUGGGACAGUGGCAAGAUUUCAGGCUAUUCUGGUGGUCAAGCAGCAGUUAUAGAAGAUUAUUGACAAUCUGGUUAUGCGGAACCAUCAAGAAGCAGUUAGCGAAUAUGAACAAAAAUAAAUAUCAAAGAGACCAAGUUGGCCAAUCUUAACCUGAUUCUAAGUUACUUGGUGUAAUAAUAAAUAGGCAACUAGCAGUUAAGCCUCACUUGACCUGAUUCUAGGCCGUAACCAUUGUUGUUUUCUCUGUUUUUUUAUGGGGCUCC